UUAUAUAGUAUUUAUCAAUAGUGUGCCUUUGUUGCCUUGUGAAACUCAUCAUGAUGAUAAGUCCAAGUCCAACCACUACGUGCUAAUUCUAUCUUUAAAACAUAGGAGUACAAGCUUUAAGACCAUCUUUAUUGGUGGGGUUUAGCAUGCACAAAUUGUACAAUUUGUGCAUGAAUGCACAACUUUAUGCAAUUAAAUGUGGACCAUUGAUAUAAUAUAAAUAUAUUCUAAUGGUUGAGAUUCAUUUUGGUUUUUUACUUGUAACUUUUUUGGUGACUUAUUGUAGAGAGGAAAAAAAAAUUGCGGCCCCACCAACCAUUAUUAAAAUAACAUAAAAUUCUGUUUUUUUUUUGUGUGUGUUGGGCUAAGAAUUUUUUGAGCCCAAAUAUUUUUAUGAGGCCAUAGUUUAUGUUUGUUUUUAAUCUCAAUUAAAUUUCUAUAUAUUAUUGUACCGUUUUUCAAUAUAUUCUACGUCGACGAGGGCAACUAAAUUUUGAAAAAUCAUCUAUAAGAUUGUUUAUAAUAUUUGGUUGAAAUAGUUUAAUUUUCCAUGUCACAUUAAGAAAUUGGAGUGAAAUGGAAUGAUAUCGCGAAAAAUAUGGUUGUGAUUGGUUGAUAGUGUAAAAUUAUUUUAUACUGUCAGUGCAUAUUCUUUUUUUCUCUAAUUUAUUUUAUUAUUACUAGCGGGCUAGAGCCUGCCUGUGUCUAACUUAUAUAAAAAAAAA
rnacentral:lncRNA from 1 species